AGGGAUGGGGCAAUUGUCACCGGUGUCCACACAGUUAACCCCCAGGUGCCACCUGGUGAUGAAUUGGCCUGGUCUGUGAAUGCACUCAAGAUGCCCUGAAGUUUCCAGAAGUUCCUGAUAAGGAUUAGGGGGCACUUUGCAGAGGCCUUGGGUCCUGGAUUAGUGACUAGGGGUGAAGGUCAGGAAGAUCUGGUGAGAGGUGGGAGUGGUCAGCAGGUGUGUGUGGGGUGUGUGUGUGUUUGUGCAGGGGAGGGGGGGCGUCUGAUGUGCAGAGCUCAUGGCUGGAGGUCUGGGACCAGGGGUCAGGCCUCAGGCAGGAGCAGAGGCCAAAUCAGGAGAUGUGCACGUUUAGGGGGAAGAUCAGCUUAGGGGAAACUGAGUCAGGGAGCUAGUUGAGGUUUCUAAGCAGGUGGGUGGAGGUGGUGGAGGUCAGAAGACCAGGCCAGGGCCAUAGAAGGCCAAGGAUCUUCUGGUCAGGCAACAACAGCUGGCAGAGUUGUCGUCUGGGGUGAGCAGAGGAUCGUGCUUUGUUUUCAGACCCUCAAAAGCCCUGCGGUUGUGGAAGCCUGUCCAGAGGCACCCUCCUCUUAUUAAAGGAGGUGAGGAGUGAAGAUUUGUGUCCCGCAGCUCUUGAAGAUUUGAGAGAUCAGGACACGAAUCAAGGUGCUUAGCAUUCUUUCAACAAUGGAAGGAGCUCGUACCGGGCCUCCAGGGACAGUUGACAUUUGAUCGGCAUCCGUGGCAGCCGGCCUCACUACUGAGGCAAGGCAAGGGAGGGAAACACAACUCACUGUGUUGGUGACCAGAGCUGCAGCUGGGCCUGGGAAGCUCUGGCAAGGACAUGUCCAGAUCCCCUUCUAGUUUGAUAACACCCUGGGUCUGAGAACCAGGCCUGGAAUUGACACUGGGCGAUGUGGGGGACGCAGCUUGGGUCGGGGGCAGAGUUACCACCAUGGAAAGGGCUAGUAUCAGUUGACCAAGGGCUUCCCUUGCAGCCAGGCCUGGCGCCAGGCCCCUCAUGAGCCUUAUUGAGGUUGUGUUCACAGUGACCCCAGGAAGGGGCCGUGCGCUCCCACUUACAGGGAAGCCAGCUGCAGCUGGGGGUCAAGUGUUUGGCCCGAGCUCCCGAGGCCAGCGAGCGGCAAAGCUGAGAUCUGAGUCCAGAGCUCUGCUCGGCUUUGGGCCAUUGCUGAGCUGUCCAGGGAGGGCCUCCAGGAAGCUGGCAGCAGAGGCCUCGCUCUGUCCUACCACGAGCUGCUGAUGUCACCCGGCAUUUCAGUGCUUCUGCUUCCCUAUCUGCGAAAAUGGGAGGGAAGCAGCCCGGGAGCCACAGCGCCAGCCUGAGCUGGGAGAAGGAAGGGGGCAGGAGGUGGUUGUGAGCCUUGAGAACCGGGCCUGCUCCUGGGAAGCCCAGCCGGGACCCAAGUUUGAACAGAUUAAGUUCAUCUACCCUUCUGCCUAGGUUCUUGCCCCCUGACAAAAGCAAAUCUUCACCGCUGAUUACACCGAAUCCCUCCCUUGCCCUUUCCUUGGGGUUUUACUCCAGGUGGGCCAAGCCCGAACUUCCCACAAGUGUGAAGGACAAAAACCUGAUGUGAGGGAGGCCCACCCUCUCCAGGCCUCCUGGGACAUCUUCAUGGGAGGGGAUUAGCCGCCUGGGAUCUCGGGAGAUGCCAAGGAGGGAGUCUCGGUGGCCUCAGGGACAGAAGGUGGGGAUGUUGAGGCAGGCCCUGCCCAAGCUCCUGGCCUCCGCCUAACUUGGCCAGUCCCUGCCAGGGAGGGCAGACGGCACUGGGCCCAGCUUCUGACAGCCAGGCCAGGCUCCAGGCUGGGCCCCUGGCAGAUCCUGCAGGCUGAGCCUCCCUCUUUCCCCCUGCACAACACACACAGGGUUGGGCCCCCUCUCCACCCUCUUCUGGGAGCUUGGAUUCUCCCCAGCCCUGGCCCAGGAUGCAGGGCCACUCCCCUCCGGCCAGCUCUUUCCCGGCACCGUCUGACCCCAGACCAGCUGUGAGUGAGGUAGGGAGGCCGCAGGAGUCCCUGGCAGGCUUCUGGGGGAUGGAAACUAGCAGUCUGCCUGGUCCAAGCAGGCAGGCUCGGGCGGGGGGUUGGGGGGGUGGUGGAGGGGGUGGCGGGGGCAAGGCGAGCAGGCCCUGGCAGCAUUCUGGAGGAAUUUCUGAAUUACUUCCUGGCUGGAGACCAGAGGCCAGAGCAGGCCUGGGCUGGUCCUGCUGGCUAAGGACCUAGAGGAGACUUCCUCCUGGUUCUGAGGCCUCACCACCUCCUGCCUCUUUGCCCCACUUCCCUCCGCCUGCCCGCCUCAGAACUGAAGCCUCCUGCAAUGGCGAGUUCCAGCUGAGGGGGGUCAUCAGUGCUCCCCACUACCUCAUUUGUGCAAGAGACAACCAGGGCCUAAGGAGGAGGGGCUUGUCCUCUCCUGGCCCCUGCCCUUCUUUCUUCUCGGACUUACGGGCAACCUGUUGAAGUCAGAGCCGUUCUGGAUCUCUCCACUCUUCUGAAAACACAUACUCCAUCUGGCCAAGAGAGGAGGCCCUCUCCAGUUUCUGGAUCUUCACUGUGUUGUUGCAGAGAGGAUGGUGGGUUGGCUGUUCCCACGCUGACCUUCCACCUGGGAAAACUGAGGCAGCAAGGAGACUGGAGCCUCAGGAUCCCAUGCAGUCCCACCCACCUGAGACGACGAGGGAGGGCCGGCAGUGAUAGCAGGGCUCAGGGGCUCCCCUUAGCUGCCCAUGUGCGCCAGCCCCAGAGCUCUGGGUGGGAGGUCAGGUCCCCGUCAGUCAGCCGUCCUUCCCGAGGGGAGGGAGCAGAGGCCUGCAGGGCUGCUUUGCCAGCUCCAAACCAGGCCUCCACGUGGCCAAGUUGCUUCCUUCUUUGUCAUCUCUGCACAGUAGCCGGCUCAGCUACCAGCUGGCAGGGUGACUGCCCUUGGGGCCGUGGCGUCCCGAGCCAGGGGAGCAGUGGGACCUGGGUCCAGGAGUGUACUGACUCGGGAAUACUGUUUUGAUUCCAGGAGCUGAAGCUCGGCCAAGGUCAGGGAAAGCAGGCAGGCCCUGCCCGGGGACUGGAACCCACCCAUUGGCUGCAUGACAAUGCCCGGCCAGAGGGAAGGUGGGCCUGAAGGGAACAGAAAUGAGCGCUGCUCCGCCCUGGCAGGCCCCGUGGGCGCAAGCCUCUGCAAGACCCUCCUUUCUGCAGUCUCGUCCCCAGGUUUCCAGGCCUGCAAUCAGCCUCCUGAAGUGGAAGCUGAUUGUGGCCACCAUUCCUCCCAUCAGGAGGCACUUAGGGCCUGGUGACGGGCUUAGUGGCCCGUGGGUGGUGUCUCAUUUAUUCUCAGAGAAGCCACAGGAGGUGGGUCCUAUUGUCCCAGUAACGAGAGUCUGAUUAACUGAAUGACUGGUGCCAGUCCCCACGGCUGCCAUGCUGUCCCGGAGCACUCCUACCAUGGCGAUGUUCGGGUGGCUGUUUGUUUCUGUGAGCCUCCCUGAUUGUGGUUUCAGCUCCGUGUCACCCAGUGGAGCUGCUGUGUGAAUUCACAUCUGGCUGACUGUGAUGCUUAAGGCUGUCACCCUCCUGCCACACGCAGCACCCAGCAGAUAGCAGGACCUCAUAGAUGUUCUGCAGGCUGGAAUAAUGAGGUGCCACCACGUUUGCGGUCUGGGGAGCUGGUCCCUGGUUUACAGAUGGCCAUCUCUGUGUCUUCACAUGGUGGAGGGGCAAGGGAACGCUCUGGGAGUUUCUCUUAUAAAGGCAUUAUUCCCAUUCAUGAGGGCUCUACCGUCAUGAUCUAAUCACACCCCAGAGGCUCAUCUCCUAAUGCUGCCACCUUGGGGUUUAGGAUUUAAACACACGGAUUUGGGGGAGCACAAACACUCCGUCUACAGCGGGGUUCCUGUGUGCAUCACAGAUUCAGCAGCACCCUUGGCCUCUACCUCCUCGAUGCACCCUUCCCCAAGCUAUGACGGCCAAAAAACGUCUCCAGACGUUGCCAAAUGUUCUUUCGGGGGGAGGGGGCGGGAUCACCCCCUGGUUGAGAACCAUCGAUCUAGUCUUCCUUAAGCCAUGUUGAGAAGCUAGGGAAGGUUGGCCCUGACUGAACUGAGCUCUGAAGAGGAGGGCUUCUGUAGCUGAGUGAAGGGUCCCCUCCUCCCCCCUCCCUCCUCCUCUCCCCGCCUCUCCUCCUCCUCACAUUCAGGCAAAUGCAUAUUGAUAAACCCUCACAUUUGUAUACAGCUCUACAGUUCAUAACGUGCUCUCGUUUAUUUCCUCUUACUUGUUCCUCGGGAGGCGGGUGGGGGAGGGGUAGCGGGCAGCUACCCCAGCCGUGGAGACUGUGAGGUUUACUGCCUCUGAUCCCCUCCCAGCCCAAGAGUCUUUGGCUGCUGGUGUGACAGCACCGAGCUAAGGACUCCUGCGGGGCCCAGAUGGGAGAUUUGAUAUUUAGGGCCCCCUCCUGUCCCUUUCUUCCCCUGUCGCUUUUGCCCUCAGCCUGUCUGAGCUCUCCCUGUCCUGCCCACACACCGACUCUGUUCCUAGGAGAGGUUCUGGAGUGAGUCUUUGUGGCUUGGCCGCUUUCCCUGCACCCUGGGGUCUCCCCCCCGCCCCCCCAGCCCCCGUCUCUCUGCUCAGCCCCUCAGGGGCCUCCGCUGGUCUCCUGGCACUAAAUGCCAUCUCUACCACACCCAGUUCCCCCCAAGCAUACACCCCAGUCCCGAUGCUUCCCCCAGAGCCCAUUCUUGGACCCGUGUGACUCCUCCCUGCGCCAUCUAAUAACCCCCUGAAUUAAUUGAUUUUCCUUCUCCCCACCUCCAACAUCCGAAUCUGCUCCUUCAGAGACUUUUCUGUUUCAGCGAUGAAGACUUCAUUCUUCCAGGUGCUCGGGGCCCCAAACCGUGGGUCACCUUUGGCUGCUCUCUUUCUGCACAGUCCACAUCUUAUCUGCUGGGGGAAUCUUGUUGGCACCACCUUUAAAUAUACCCAAGGUUCUGCCACCCCCAUCGCCUCCACAGGUCCCCCUUCACCUCUGGGUUAUUGUAAUAGCCUCGCAAGUGACUCUCCUGAUUCUGCCCUUGAGUCUCUAAAGUCAGUCUUUUUUUUUUUUUUUUUUUUUGAUGUUUAUUUAUUUUUGAGAGAGAGAGAGAGAGAGAGAGAGAGAGAGACUGAGCACAAGCCGGGGAGGGACAGAGACAGAGGGAGACAGAAUCUGAAGCAGGCUCCCCGCUGUGCUGACAGCUCAGAGCCAGACGCGGGGCUAGAACCCACAAAAUGCAAGAUCAUGACCUGAGCUGAAGUUGGACACUCUCCAGGCGCCUCCCUAAAGUCUGUCUUCACGCAGCAGCGGCCCAAACACCCUUCCAAAGGAUGUCUGAGUAUGCCCUCUGCUGCCCGAACCCUGCAAGGGCGCCCUUCACCCAGACCCCGUGUUCUAUCCUGGCCUUCAGGGCCCCACCUGGGCUGGCCCUUCCCUCUCACCUCACCCCUCACACCGAGCAGUCUCCUCCCCUCACUCAGCUCCAGCUGCACAGGCUCGCUCACUGUGGGUCCUGCACUGCUGUUCCUGUCUUGGGGCCUUUGCUCUCCCUGGAAAGCUCUUCCUCCAGACGUCCUUCAAGUCACUGUUCAAAUACCUCUUUUUACACCCCCAACAAUGCACCUCCUGAACCUCCUUCCCUGGCUCAUCCCCCACCCUCAUAGCUCUUAUUAUCUUCUAACUUACUGUAUGACUCACUUAUCGAUUGUAUUUAUUGUUUGUGGUCAGUCUCUUCUUGCUGGAAUGUCGUCAACUCCAUGUAAGGGAUGGCUUUUGUUUUUACUAAUUGAUGUAUCCCAACAUACCCACAGCAGCCGUGGACACCAGUUAAGCCCCUAAUAAAUGUUUGUUGAAUUUA